rnacentral:rRNA from 1 species
CCUACGGGAGGCAGCAGUGAGGAAUAUUGGUCAAUGGGCGUAAGCCUGAACCAGCCAAGUCGCGUGAGGGAUGAAGGUUCUAUGGAUCGUAAACCUCUUUUAUAAGGGAAUAAAGGGUGGGACGUGUCCUAUUUUGUAUGUACCUUAUGAAUAAGGAUCGGCUAACUCCGUGACAGCAGCCGCGGUAAUACGGAGGAUCCGAGCGUUAUCCGGAUUUAGUGGGUUUAAAGGGUGCGUAGGCGGCCGUUGAAGUCAUCGGUGAAAGUCUGUGGCUCAACCAUAGAAUUGCCGUUGAAACUGGGGGGCUUGAGUAUGUGUGAGGUAGGCGGAAUGCGUGGUGUAGCGGUGAAAUGCUUAGAUAUCACGCAGAACCCCGAUUGCGAAGGCAGCCUGCCAAGCCAUGACUGACGCUGAGGCACGAAAGCGUGGGGAUCAAACAGGAUUAGAUACCCGAGUAGUC